AAACAAUGCACCGUUAUUCUUGAGGAAUGCAAGUGCGUUUUGUUUGGAAAAAGCAUUCUUAUUCUGAUCGUUGUGAAGUGAAGUAUCAUUUUUCUGUGCAAAUAAGUUAUAAAGUGUUGAAAAUAACAAAUAAAAAGGUCAAAUCAAAAUUUUAGCUGAUGCUUUAGCUGAGUUGAAGGUGAUGUUGCUACGAUCUCAAAGUGAUGAGAUACCAUUAUCGAAUAGGUUCCCCAACACUUAUGAAAAAUAUUGAGAAUCAAUACAUAUAUGUAAAGAUUAUAGCAUCAAUUAUAAAAGGAGAGGAAAUAUCGAAAUGUUUAAAAAUGUUAUCGGUUCAAAUAUUACUACGAGUAUUAUAUUGAGGGAAGCCAUGGAAAAAGGUUUGAAGUCCCUAAGUAAU